GAUGAACGCUGGCGGUAUGCUUAACACAUGCAAGUCGAACGGACUCUUCGGAGUUAGUGGCGGACGGGUGAGUAACGCGUGAGAAUCUGGCUUUGGGUUCGGGACAACCACUGGAAACGGUGGCUAAUACCGGAUGUGCCGAGAGGUAAAAGAGAAAUUGCCUGAAGAUGAGCUCGCGUCUGAUUAGCUAGUUGGUGAGGUAAAGGCUCACCAAUGCAGCGAUCAGUAGCUGGUCUGAGAGGAUGACCAGCCACACUGGGACUGAGACACGGCCCAGACUCCUACGGGAGGCAGCAGUGGGGAAUUUUCCGCAAUGGGCGAAAGCCUGACGGAGCAAUACCGCGUGAGGGAAGAAGGCUCUUGGGGUGUAAACCUCUUUUCUUAGGGAAGAACAAAAUGACGGUACCUAAGGAAUCAGCAUCGGCUAACUACGUG
rnacentral:rRNA from 1 species